UAGGGAAUCUUCGGCAAUGGGGGGAACCCUGACCGAGCAACGCCGCGUGAGUGAAGAAGGUUUUCGGAUCGUAAAGCUCUGUUGUUAAGGAAGAACGUGUGUGAGAGUGGAAAGUUCACACAGUGACGGUACUUAACCAGAAAGGGACGGCUAACUACGUGCCAGCAGCCGCGGUAAUACGUAGGUCCCGAGCGUUGUCCGGAUUUAUUGGGCGUAAAGCGAGCGCAGGCGGUUAGAUAAGUCUGAAGUGAAAGGCAGUGGCUCAACCAUUGUAGGCUUUGGAAACUGUUGAACUUGAGUGCAGAAGGGGAGAGUGGAAUUCCAUGUGUAGCGGUGAAAUGCGUAGAUAUAUGGAGGAACACCGGUGGCGAAAGCGGCUCUCUGGUCUGUAACUGACGCUGAGGCUCGAAAGCGUGGGGAGCGAACAGGAUUAGAUACCCUGGUAGUCCACGCCGUAAACGAUGAGUGCUAGGUGUUAGGUCCUUUCCGGGACUUAGUGCCGCAGCUAACGCAUUAAGCACUCCGCCUGGGGAGUACGACCGCAAGGUUG
rnacentral:rRNA from 1 species